CAGGGGCAGCAUUUUGACUCUUGGGCUCCUCUUCAUCAUGCAAAAUUCUGCCCCGUGUAUUUGUGCAUGGUGAAGAGGGACCCAGGAGUCAUCUUGCAC